rnacentral:rRNA from 1 species
UACAGAGGCCCCGAGCAUUAUCCGGAAUCACUGGGCGUAAAGGGUGUGUAGGCGGCGCUAUUAGUCCUUCGUAAAAGCAUCCCGGCUUAACCGGGAUAAUGCGGAGGAAACGGUAGUGCUUGAGGACGCGAGAGGUAGAGGGAACUCAUGGUGUAGGGGUGAAAUCCGUUGAUAUCAUGGGGAACACCAAAUGCGAAGGCACUCUACUGGCGCGCUCCUGACGCUGAGACACGAAAGCGUGGGUAGCGAACGGG